rnacentral:rRNA from 1 species
AUUGAACGCUGGCGGCAUGCUUUACACAUGCAAGUCGAACGGUAACAGGCCGCAAGGUGCUGACGAGUGGCGAACGGGUGAGUAAUGCAUCGGAACGUGCCCAGUCGUGGGGGAUAACGCAGCGAAAGCUGCGCUAAUACCGCAUACGAUCUCUGGAUGAAAGCGGGGGACCGAAAGGCCUCGCGCGAUUGGAGCGGCCGAUGUCAGAUUAGGUAGUUGGUGGGGUAAAGGCCCACCAAGCCAACGAUCUGUAGCUGGUCUGAGAGGACGACCAGCCACACUGAGACUGAGACACGGCCCAGACUCCUACGGGAGGCAGCAGUGGGGAAUUUUGAACAAUGGGCGCAAGCCUGAUCCAGCAACGCCGCGUGCAGGAAGAAGGCCUUCGGGUUGUAAACUGCUUUUGUACGGAGCGAAACGGUCCGGGUUAAUACCCUGGGCUAAUGACGGUACCGUAAGAAUAAGCACCGGCUAACUACGUGCCAGCAGCCGCCGUAAAAC